UACGUAGGGGGCAAGCGUUGUCCGGAAUUAUUGGGCGUAAAGAGCUCGUAGGCGGCUUGUCGCGUCGUCUGUGAAAUCCCGCGGCUCAACCGCGGGUCUGCAGUCGAUACGGGCAGACUAGAGUGCGGUAGGGGAGACUGGAAUUCCUGGUGUAGCGGUGAAAUGCGCAGAUAUCAGGAGGAACACCGGUGGCGAAGGCGGGUCUCUGGGCCGUAACUGACGCUGAGGAGCGAAAGCGUGGGGAGCGAACAGG
rnacentral:rRNA from 1 species